GGUGGCUCAGUGGUAGAGCUCUUGCUUUGCAUGCAUGAAGCCCUGGGUUCGAUUCCUCAGCACCA
rnacentral:tRNA from 1 species